GCAGGAUCCUGGUGGUUUCUGACCCGUAGCCAGAGCCGUUCCUGCCCCCCGGUAUAUUCAUCAACUCAGGAAUACAUCACUGGGGCUGUGACAGACAGGAAGGCAAACAAGGAAACGCAGCAGUCGUCCCUUGACCUGUCUCGGAGUUGACGUGGCGAGUGGCUCAGCUCGCCGUGCCGCCCGGGAGCCGGCGCUGCGGUUGUUUCCGCUCAUGAGGCGAAGAUGUGACGGCCUGCUCGGACACGCUGCUUUGGCCGUCAUCAACCUGGUGAAGAUGCUCUCGUCUCCGGUUUGCCCCCGGCUGCUUGCCGGUCCCCCUGCCCAAGGUCACCUUCCCCUGGUCAACGUGCACAGCAUCAUAUGCAGCCAGUCCCUAACCCAGUCCUGCCAAAACGGGCCUGGUUAUAAAUACUUCUCACAGUAUUUUUUUUAAGAAGGAUCCCCUGGAAGACGAAACCUCAUCUGUCAUGUUAAAUAACUUGAGUCUUGACUACCUGACCCAGAUGACCUGGUACAAAUUAUACAUAGUACCAAGGCUCAAACUGCCCCAGAGCUGUAACUCCCCGGGGUGUUUUCCCUGCAACCUCUGACUCAAGGGAGGGGAGCAGAAGUUGCGCCAGCAGGUCGUUCUCCACCACCAACAUCCUAAGGAAAACUGAGGCAGAGAGGAGUCAAGCUGCACAUCCGUGGUCAUGCUAGAGCUGGGCCAGCUCUGCCGCCCGCUGCGGACACUGUGCGAGGUGAUGCUGCUCCAGUAAUUGCAAUGCAGGAAGCUGAUGUAUCUGUGUCAGCAGGAUUAAUCAGAUGAGCGCAACCUGCAAGACAGGAGUAGUUAAGGUCUUGAUGCUGGCACUGAAAACUGGGGCUGUGCGCACUACUGAGGUCAUUGCCGCACACUCGGCUUUCCCCGUGAGAGUUCGCUGGGACCCAAGGACUGCACAACAGGGUUUUCUAAGUCCCCAGCACUGCACCUCUUUCAAGCCUUCCUGUUCUGGCUCUUUCACAAAAAGAAGAAACGUCAGAUUCUCAGAGGAUAAACUGGGGCUCCAACAAACACCAGGGCUGAGAAGCCAGCAGAGUCCGCGUCCCUCCUCCUCCUCCAUUUCAGCUCCCUCAUCGUCAACGGACGCGCGCAAAUCACUGCUCUCGCGGACCCGAAUUUCACUNNNNNNNNNNNNNNNNNNNNNNNNNNUGAGCGGCAGAUCUCCGUCUGCAGAGCCCCCAGUUUCCUGAGACAACACGUCAUUCGCUCAAAACCCAAUUUACUGCCAGCGGUAACGUCUCAGUGACCCCUGCCACGGAGAGGAACUCGUUUCUGCCCUAGAAAAGCGCUUUUUUCAGCUCAGCGCUGAGGCCCGCUUGAAAACGUUAAGGCAGGGGAAACACGCGCCAGUUCCCUCGCCAACGCAGAUGUCCCGGCGACGUUAGCCUCGACGAACGUACUUCUUUCACAUGGCGUUUACGUAAGCCUCAGUAAAAGGAAAAAAUAAAAUAAAAUAAAAAUCUGCA
rnacentral:lncRNA from 1 species